GAUGAACGCUGGCGGCGUGCCUAAUACAUGCAAGUCGAGCGAAAAGACGAGGAGCUUGCUCCUUCGACGUUACCGACGGACGGGUGAGUAACACGUACGUAACCUACCUAUAAGACUGAGAUAACUUCGGAAAUCCGGAUCUCAUACCGGUUAAUAUUUCGAACCGCGUGGUUCGAUAGUGAUAGCUGGCUUUGCUAUGACUUAUAGAUGGUCCUGCGCCGGAUUAGCUAGUUGGUAAGGUAACGGCUUACCAAGGCAACGAUGCGUAGCCGACCUGAGAGGAUGAUCAGCCACACUGGAACUGAGACACGGUCCAGACUCCUACGGGAGGCAGCAGUGGGGAAUUUUGGACAAUGGGCGAAAGCCUGACGCAGCAAUGCCGCGUGAGUGAAGAAGGUCUUCGGAUCGUAAAGCUCUGUUAAUAGGAAAGAACAAAUGGGUAAGUAACUAGUCAGGUCUUGACGGUACCUAAACAGGAAGCCCCGGCUAACUACGUG
rnacentral:rRNA from 1 species